rnacentral:rRNA from 1 species
ACAUCGCCUCUUGAAUAAAAUAAGAGGUCCAGCCUGCCCAGUGAAAUUAUUCAACGGCCGCGGUAUCCUAACCGUGCGAAGGUAGCGUAAUCACUUGUUCUUUAAAUGAGGACUAGUAUGAAUGGCACCACGAGGGUGCUACUGUCUCCUUUUUUAAAUCAGUGAAACUAAUCUUCCCGUGAAGAAGCGGGAAUUUUUUUAUAAGACGAGAAGACCCUAUGGAGCUUUAAACAAAUGACAUUUGCUUCAUCUAACACUUUGUCUGCAAGAAGUAUAGCAUUAUGACCUUUAGUUUUCGAUUGGGGUGAUCACGGAGUAAAAUAUAACCUCCACGCCGAAAGGGUUUAUUCCCUAAGCAAAAAGCUACAGCUUUAGGCACUAAAAAAUUAACGUAAUUUGAC